rnacentral:rRNA from 1 species
AUGACAAGCGUGACCAAAAAUCAGUUUGGUUUCAUGCCUGGGAGGUCAACCAUGGAAGCCAUUUUCUUGGUACGACAACUUAUGGAGAGAUACAGGGAGCAAAAGAAGGACUUGCAUAUGGUGUUCAUUGACUUGGAGAAGGACUAUGAUAAGAUACCGCGGAAUGUCAUGUGGUGGGCCUUGGAGAAACACAAAGUCCCAGCAAAGUACAUUACCCUCAUCAAGGACAUGUACGAUAAUGUUGUGACAAGUGUUCGAACAAGUGAUGUCGACCCUGAUGACUUCCCGAUUAAGAUAGGACUGCAUCAGGGGUCAGCUUUGAGUCCUUAUCUUUUUGCCUUGGUGAUGGAUGAGGUCACAAGGGAUAUACAAGGAGAUAUCCCAUGGUGUAUGCUCUUUGCGGAUGAUGUGGUGCUAGUUGACGAUAGUCGGACGGGGGUAAAUAAGAAGUUAGAGUUAUGGAGACAAACCUUGGAAUCAAAAGGGUUUAGGCUUAGUAGAACUAAAACCGAGUACAUGAUGUGCGGUUUUAGUACUACUAUGUGUGAGGAGGAGGUUAGCCUUGAUGGGCAGGUAGUACCCCAGAAGGACACCUUUCGAUAUUUGGGGUCAAUGCUGCAGGAGGAUGGGGGUAUUGAUGAAGAUGUGAACCAUCGAAUCAAAGUCGGACGGAUGAAGUGGCGCCAAGCUUCUGGCAUUCUUUGUGACAAGAGAGGGCCACAAAAGCUAAAAGGCAAGUUCUACAUGACGACGGUUCGACCCGCAAUGUUGUAUGACGUUGAGUGUUGGCCGACUAAAAGGUGA